rnacentral:rRNA from 1 species
AGCGAACGCUGGCGGCAGGCUUAACACAUGCAAGUCGAACGGUCCUUCGGGAUAGUGGCGGACGGGUGAGUAACACGUGGGAACGUACCCUUAGGUUCGGAACAACACAGGGAAACUUGUGCUAUACCGGAUAAGCCCUUCGGGGGAAAGAUUUAUCGCCUUUGGAGCGGCCCGCGUCUGAUUAGCUUGUUGGUGAGGUAAUGGCUCACCAAGGCUACGAUCAGUAGCUGGUCUGAGAGGAUGGCCAGCCACACUGGGACUGAGACACGGCUCAGACUCCUACGGGAGGCAGCAGUGGGGAAUCUUGCGCAAUGGGCGAAAGCCUGACGCAGCCAUGCCGCGUGGAUGAUGAAGGUCUUAGGAUUGUAAAAUCCUUUCACCGGGGACGAUAAUGACGGUACCCGGAGAAGAAGCCCCGGCUAACUUCGUGCCAGCCGCCGCCGUAA